GAUAACAGCCUCGGGAGACCAGCCACGCGUGCCUUCUUGGAGGCCUGACCCUUAGGAGGGACCUCGGAAGAUUGGGCUCGCUUACUAGUGGAGCCCCCUAAUCACAAUGGCACCAGCAGCAGUGACCUGCUUAGAUCAUUUUGAAGAGGGAGCAACCUCAGCCCCUCCCUUGGAACCACCCUCCAUGGACUCCUCGAUGGUG
rnacentral:lncRNA from 1 species